CCACUCCCUCACACUCUCCUCUACCUCUCCCCCACGAAAAUGCAGCUCCACCUAGCUCCCAUGGCCGGCCAUGGCCAUGGAAAGAACUCCAAGAUGAAGCUCCCUCCUCCCUCAAGCUCCUCCUCACCAUGAGAGCCUCCCUCUCCUUCUUCUCCCCAACCCUAGAUGGUUUUCUCUCCUCUUCCCCUUCCUCCAUUGCUAAGAUUGGAUCUUGAUGCAGGUGCAUGUUGGUCCAAGCAUGGAGAAGCUUGAGCUAUCCUCAGAUCUGAAGUUCUUGAGCAAAAUCCAAAUCGAGUGAUUCAAAGUUCCGCCGAUAGAUACGGAAAAGAUCUACAACUUGGCGUUGGUCUCAUCCUCAAAUUCGUUACGGAUUGUCCGUGGGGAUGUUUGGUUUAUACCAUGGUGAUAACCGAGAGAGGCAAUUGCUAAGUUGUGAUACUCUCAUACCUUUACUAGACGCGAGCAAUUCCGGAGAAGAAGAAGAAGUGGAAUUGGACAAGGAUUUUAUUUAUAUUGUUGGGAUUCUUAUAUUGAUAGAGUUGAAGAAGUACAGGGACAAAUAAGCCAAG